GGCCUGAUAGCACAAUUGGUUAGUGCAUCUCCUAAACUUGUGGGAGAAAUGGUAACUGUUUGCGGAGAAGAUUCCCGUUCGAUCCGGGGUCAGGCCA